AGUGAACGCUGGCGGUAGGCCUAACACAUGCAAGUCGAACGGCAGCACAGUAAGAGCUUGCUCUUACGGGUGGCGAGUGGCGGACGGGUGGGGAAUACAUCGGAAUCUACUUUUUCGUGGGGGAUAACGUAGGGAAACUUACGCUAAUACCGCAUACGACCUACGGGUGAAAGCAGGGGAUCUUCGGACCUUGCGCGAUUGAAUGAGCCGAUGUCGGAUUAGCUAGUUGGCGGGGUAAAGGCCCACCAAGGCGACGAUCCGUAGCUGGUCUGAGAGGAUGAUCAGCCACACUGGAACUGAGACACGGUCCAGACUCCUACGGGAGGCAGCAGUGGGGAAUAUUGGACAAUGGGCGCAAGCCUGAUCCAGCCAUACCGCGUGGGUGAAGAAGGCCUUCGGGUUGUAAAGCCCUUUUGUUGGGAAAGAAAAGCAGCAGGUUAAUACCCCGCUGUUCUGACGGUACCCAAAGAAUAAGCACCGGCCAACUUCGUG
rnacentral:rRNA from 1 species